rnacentral:ncRNA from 1 species
GUAAAGUUUUAUUUUGGCUUAUAAAUUUAUUGUUAGUUUAAUUUAUAUGUAAGUUUUUGCAUGAAUUUAUUUUUAUUUUAAAAAUAAUUAUAGUUUAUUUAUUCGCAGUAAUUGAUAUUAUUAAUUAAAGAAAUUUAGAAAUAGUAAUAUUAAAGAGUAUUGAUUAAAUUUGUGCCAGCAAUCGCGGUUAUACGAAUAAUGCAAAUAAAUUUUAUUAGUUAAAGUUAAAUUGUUGUUGUUAUUAAAUAUUAUUGAAUUUAUUAAGUGAAAUUUUAAAUUUAUUAAUUUUAUAAAAAAAUAUAUUGAAGCUUAAAAAUUUUUUUGAUAAACUAGGAUUAGAUACCCUAUUAUUAAAAAUGUAAGUUUGUAGACUAAGGUAGUAUUAGUUAUGAUCUUGAAACUUAAAAAAUUUGGCGGUAUUUUAGUCUAUUCAGAGGAACCUGUUCUGUAAUCGAUAAUCCACGAUGGACCUUACUUAAAUUUGUAAUCAGUUUAUAUACCGUUGUUGUUAAAAUAUUUUAUAAGAAUGAUAAUUUUUGUAAUUUUUUAUUAAAAAAUAUAUCAGAUCAAGGUGUAGCUUAUGUUUAAGUAGAAAUGGGUUACAAUAAAUUUAUUUAUAUGGAUAUAAAUUUGAAAUGUUUAUUGAAGGUGGAUUUGAAAGUAAAAUUAUAGAGAUUAAUAAUUUGAUUUUAGCUCUAAAAUAUGUACACAUCGCCCGUCACUCUUAUUAUUAAAAUAAGAUAAGUCGUAACAUAGUAGAUGUACUGGAAAGUGUAUCUAGAAUG